rnacentral:rRNA from 1 species
UGCGACUUCGGUCAAAUGACUUUUGAACUUAGUGGCGGACGGGUGAGUAACGCGUGAGCAACCUGACCCUUUGAGGGGGAUAACACCUGGAAACAAGUGCUAAUACCGCAUAAGACCACGACCCGGCAUCGGGAUGAGGUCAAAGGAGCAAUCCGCAGAGGGAGGGGCUCGCGUCCCAUUAGAUAGUUGGCGGGGUAAGGGCCCACCAAGUCGACGAUGGGUAGCCGAGCUGAGAGGCUGAUCGGCCACACUGGAACUGAGACACGGUCCAGACUCC